GCGGUUGUGGUGAAGAUGGUUAACACUCUGGAUUGUGGCUCCAGCAUUCGCGAGUUCGAGUCUCGUCAAUCGCCCCA
rnacentral:tRNA from 1 species